CUCUCUCUCUGAAAUAAAUUUUUAAAAUCUUUUAAAAAUAGAUAAAAUGAAAUAAAAUAAGUUAUGGUUGAAGGCCCCUGAAGUUGGCAGUGGCCCAGGCCUGUCUGGCCCUCUGGAAGUACUUCAGAAAUGUUUAAUGAGACAGAGUAUGGCCCGGGUUUGAUAUCAGUUGUGGGAAGACAGGAGCUGAGUGUCCCUCUAGUCCCGACAGGACCCCAUGUCCAUGACCGAAUGCCAGCCCAGGGCAGCUCACUAGCCCCUGCUGAGAGCGCAGGAAAUACAGGGCUUCGGAGCUCAGAAAGGGAUGGUCUGUGACAUGCUGGAGGCUGGGGAAGCCUUCACUUAACCUUCAUCUGGAAUAUUUAGGUAGAGCAAAGGAGAUGGUCAGACAUGGGAGCCAUGCCUGGUAAAGCGACGGACCACAGAACCUCGGGGGUGCCUCUGGGUGCCUCUGAGUCAGCCAGAGUAGUGUGUUCUGGAAGCCUGCGAGGGCCAGAGGAGAGACCAAAGACAGCCGUAUUGGCAGAUGGGGCUCGGACAGAGUGGAAGUGUAAAAGCAGCUUCGUGAAGAGCUGACGGAUUCGGCGCCCUAGUCUGUGGCUCAUACCCUCAAGGCAGCAGGAGGCGAGGAGACCUUCCUUUCCCCUCGCCCCCGUUGCUUAAUUGCUUCUCAAGUCCCCUCAGCAAGUUCCAGGCUUUUAAGAACCAGAGUCAAUGUUCUGUCACAUUAUUUGCACCCGGGUAUUUCCCCCUGGCUCUCUGCUUCCGAUGGCCAGACGAGGUGACGCAAGACUGGAAGAUUCUGGGGCUGGAACAGCUCUCGGGCUUUCCCGUGGAGGACCUCCCACUCCUUGGCAGACCCGAGCGGAGGGUUGAUAGCCCAGAUUUCCGGGCUGAACGCUGUGAGCCCUCUGACGCCUCUUUGCUGAGCGCGGAAACGCAGGCCUGCCGGGUCCCAGGCAGUGGGCAGUGAGGGCCCGGCCCUGGGCGUGGCCUUGGACUCGGCUGUGGCAGCAGCACCGGACUGGCCACAGAGGAUGUGGCAGGUGAUGCUGCUCAUGGAGCCGGUCCCAGAGCUCCUCAGCCUGUUGCCAGGUCGGGACCUUGAUCCCCUCCUGCCUUUUCCUGCAGUAAGAAGAAAAAAAAAA